GGACGCAGAAUUCGAUCCCCAACUUGAUAUCUGAACUCCACUCUUGGAUGGGAAGUUUGAAAGCAUUUGAGCAGCUUAUAUUUCCUAUGAAUGUACUUGAACAACUUGAAUUUAAAUUUCGAUUUGUAAUGAAUUCUACGUUAAGCACUGUACCUUUUAUUUUUGGUUGCCACUUGAAGCUGGAAAAGUGUAACCCUAAGUCUGGUAUCCGGCUUGUAUGAACGUAUUUGUGUGGUAUGGCUUUAAUCCUUGUAAGUAACGCACGAAGUGUUUAAGAGCCGUCGAUUGGCUAUCUUAUAAAUGUUGUUAUCUUUGAAGUUAAA